rnacentral:tRNA from 1 species
AUUUAAGUAGUUUAUUAAAAAUAUAGAUUUGUGGUUUCUAUGAAACUUUGUAGUCUUAAAUU